ACUAUAGUCACCAGGCCGUAAUGUCUCAUGUAAUUCUCUGAAGGAUAUUAUGAAGUAGCUGCUCUCAUUUCCACUUUAAAGAUGGUAAUAUUGGGGGCAGAAGAGUCAACUGAUUUUCGGGCUAGUCAGCAUGCUAGUCAACGUCAGAAGUGAGAUUCAAAGGCAUCUGACAGCUAUGCUUCUACCAAAUAAGGAGCAGGUGAAAUAGUAAGGUUGCUUCAUUCAUCUCCUACUCUUUGUAACCCUGUGGACUGAUCCUGCCAAGUUCCUCUGUCCAAGGGAUUCUCCAGGCAAGAAUGUUAGAGUGGGUUGCCAUGCCCUCCUCCAGAGGACCUUCCCAACCCAGGUAUCGAACCUGCAUCUCCUGCAGCUCCUGCUUUGCAGGCAGAUUCUUUACUAGCCACCAGGGAAGCCCAUAUUACAUCAUAUGACUAGUUAUACGGAGAACCCAGACGUCAAUUGUGGUUCCUUUCUUCUUGAGAUCUAUAUCAGCCUGUGUUCCUACACUAUGCUCUAUGUAAAGUCCUUCCCUAAGACUUUCAAAACUUCAAGGGUCAUGAAAUUAAGUGUCUGACCCUAACUUCUUGACUGUGAAUUCCAGAGUUCCCAUAUCAUUCUUUCUUCUUGCUGAUUUCCACUGGGCUUCUAUUGAAGCAUGGAUUUUAGCCCAUUUUUCUGAUUUUCACAGAAAUACUAGGCUUUUUAUUUUUUUUUUUCACAUUUUGCAGACUGUACUGAAAGUUCGGAGAGAAGAAUAGAGUCUGUAUCCUAGGAUAGCAAAAUCUUAUCCAAUAUUAAGCCUGUUUCUCAACAUAAGCCCUUCUCAUACCUCUCUAAGUUGUGGGGUUAUCCUCUCUCUUCUCCUUCCUCCUUUCUUUUUUCCUCUGAUCCCAAGAUCAAAUAUUUCUCCUCCAUUUUCUUAUGCAAAGAAAUUCAGAUCCCUUCUGGCCCUAUCUCCAAAUUCAGGUCUUGGCCUUUCUUUGCAUAAUCAAACACUCUGGAAAGCUUUUAAUUAUCAGACUCUUCUAGAGAAAGCAGAAAUUUCUUUUUUUUUUUUUUUCAGUUACUUAUUAACACAAAUGUAAGUCAUAUAUCCCAUUUAUAGACAAAUUUCCUUAAGCACAAGGACAGAGUUUUCCUUCUUUUUUGCUGUUUCUAUAUAGUUACUCUUGUAUGAAAUUUAGGAGUUGGUUUAUUCAUAUUUGUUUGUCUGAAUACACAGACAAAAAGAUAGAAGCAUGAAAUGGAGGAAUAAAAUGGAAGGUCCUGCGGUGUUACCUGUUAUUCUGGUGGGCUGAGAAUGCUCUUUACCCCCAGGCCAUAUCCAGUAGUGCCCUUGGUGCCUUAGUGUCUUUGCGUGAAGGCUGACAGCAGUUUAAUUCCUUCUCUCUGCCUUGAAUUGCUCCUUGCUUUCUACCUCUUUUGUUGGAUUCUUUCCUUUUCAAGUUAGUUUCUGUCAUAUUUCCUACUGAUUUACCCUUUAGAUUUUAAUUUCUCUCUUUUUUGAUAAUGAAAAUAGUAAUAGCAGUUAUUAUUUUGACUGUCUAAUUUUCUCUCCAGCUAACUUGAUUAUGUUCCUACAG
ensembl:lncRNA